rnacentral:rRNA from 2 species
GUGAGUACCACGUGGGAAACCUGCCCACAAACGGGGGAUACCACCUGGAAACAGAUGCUAAUACCGCAUAACAACUUGGACCGCAUGGUCCGAGUUUGAAAGAUGGCUUCGGCUAUCACUUUUGGAUGGUCCCGCGGCGUAUUAGCUAGAUGGUGGGGUAACGGCUCACCAUGGCAAUGAUACGUAGCCGACCUGAGAGGGUAAUCGGCCACAUUGGGACUGAGACACGGCCCAAACUCAUACGGGAGGCAGCAGUAGGGAAUCUUCCACAAUGGACGAAAGUCUGAUGGAGCAACGCCGCGUGAGUGAAGAAGGGUUUCGGCUCGUAAAACUCUGUUGUUAAAGAAGAACAUAUCUGAGAGUAACUGUUCAGGUAUUGACGGUAUUUAACCAGAAAGCCACGGCUAACUACGUGCCAGCAGCCGCGGUAAUACGUAGGUGGCAAGCGUUGUCCGGAUUUAUUGGGCGUAAAGCGAGCGCAGGCGG